rnacentral:rRNA from 1 species
CCUACGGGAGGCAGCAGUGAGGAAUAUUGGUCAAUGGGCGAGAGCCUGAACCAGCCAAGUCGCGUGAGGGAGUACUGCCCUAUGGGUUGUAAACCUCUUUUGUCGGGGAGCAAAAGCCGGACGUGUCCGGCUGUGAGAGUACCCGAAGAAAAAGCAUCGGCUCAAUCCGUGCCAGCAGCCGCGGUAAUACGGAGGAUGCGAACGUUAUCCGGAUUUAUUGGGGUAAAAGGGUGCGCAGGCGGAUGUUUAAGGCAGCGGUCAAAUCGUGGGGCUCAACCCCGUCCAGCCGUUGAAACUGGGGAUCUAGAGUGUGCGAGAGGUAUGCGGAAUGCGUGGUGUAGCGGUGAAAUGCAUAGAUAUCACGCAGAACCCCGAUUGCGAAGGCAGCAUACCGGUGCACAACUGACGCUCAGGCACGAAAGCGUGGGUAUCGAACAGGAUUAGAUACCCUGGUAGUC